rnacentral:misc_RNA from 1 species
AAGUCGUAACAAGGUUUCCGUAGGUGAACCUGCGGAAGGAUCAUUAUAAAAUUUUCAUAUAUUAAAAUUCAUUUAAUAUAUAAAAUUAAUAUACAAAAUGUAUUCAAAACCCACACACUUUAUAACCAAAAAAAAAAUAUAUAUUUUAAUAUAUAUUAUAUAUAAAAAACAACUUUCAACAACGGAUCUCUUGGCUCUC